UACGGGGGGAGCAAGCGUUGUUCGGAUUUACUGGGCGUAAAGAGCGUGUAGGCGGCCAUGCAGGUCCGUUGUGAAAACUCGAGGCUCAACCUCGAGACGUCGGCGGAAACCAUCUGGCUAGAGUCCGGAAGAGGAGAGUGGAAUUCCUGGUGUAGCGGUGAAAUGCGCAGAUAUCAGGAAGAACACCCGUGGCGAAGGCGGCUCUCUGGGACGGUACUGACGCUGAGACGCGAAAGCGUGGGGAGCGAACAGG
rnacentral:rRNA from 1 species